rnacentral:rRNA from 1 species
UACGGGGGGAGCAAGCGUUGUUCGGAUUUACUGGGCGUAAAGGGCGCGUAGGCGGCCUCUGCAAGUCAGUUGUGAAAUCCCAUGGCUCAACCAUGGAACUGCUUGGUAUACUGGCGAUCUUGUGCAACCUAGGGGCGAGCGGAACAGAUGGUGGAGCGGUGAAAUGCGUAGAUAUCAUCUGGAACGCCAAUGGUGAAAACAGCUCGCUGGGGGUUUGCAGACGCUGAGACACGAAAGCCAGGGGAGCGAACGGG